rnacentral:rRNA from 1 species
UUCCGGUUGAUCCUGCCAGAGGUUACUGCUAUGGGAGUCAGAUUAAGCCAUGCUAGCGGAGGGCAGUUCGGCUGCCCCGCAGAUAGCUCAGUAACACGUGGUCAAUCUACCCUUGGGAUGGGGAUAACCCCGGGAAACUGGGGAUAAUACCCAAUAGAUGGGGGUUCUGGAAAGGUCCCUCAUUGAAAUGUUCCGACACCCAAGGACGAGACUGCGGCCUAUUAGGUAGUUGGUGAGGUAAAGGCUCACCAAGCCGAAGAUGGGUACGGGCCCUGAGAGGGGGAGCCCGGAGAUGGAGACUGAGACAAGGCUCCAGGCCCUACGGGGCGCAGCAGGUGCGAAAAUUCUGCAAUGCGUGCAAGCGCGACAGAGUGACUCCCAGUGUCGGAGGUCUAGCGAUCGCCGGCUUUUCUGAAGCGUAAAUUGUUUCAGGUAAUAAGGGCCGGGUAAGACUGGUGCCAGCCGCCGCGGUAACACCAGCGGCCCAAGUGGUAACCGCUUUUAUUGGGUCUAAAGCGUCCGUAGCCGGAUUCGCAAGUCCCUUGUGAAAUCGGACGGCUUAACCGUUCGGCUUGCAAGGGAAACUGUGGAUCUUGAGGCCGGCAGGCGCCGAGGGUACUCCGGGGGUAGCGGUGAAAUGCUAUAAUCCCUGGGGGACCGCCAGUGGCGAAAGCGCUCGGCGAGGCCGGACCUGACGGUGAGGGACGAAGGCCAGGGGAGCGAACCGGAUUAGAUACCCGGGUAGUCCUGGCUGUAAAGGAUGUGGGCUAGGUGCUGGAUGUUCCUCGAGAGCAUUCGGUGCCGAAAGGGAAGCCGUUAAGCUCACCACCUGGGAAGUACGGCCGCAAGGCUGAAACUUAAAGAAAUUGGCGGGGGAGCACCACAAGGGGUGGAGCCUGCGGUUUAAUUGGAUUCAACGCCGGG